rnacentral:rRNA from 1 species
GAUGAACGCUGGCGGCGUGCCUAAUACAUGCAAGUCGAGCGAACAGACGAGGAUCUUGCUCCUCUGACGUUAGCGGCGGACGGGUGAGUAACACGUGGAUAACCUACCUAUAAGACUGGGAUAACUUCGGGAAACCGGAGCUAAUACCGGAUAAUAUAUUGAACCGCAUGGUUCAAUAGUGAAAGACGGUUUUGCUGUCACUUAUAGAUGGAUCCGCGCCGCAUUAGCUAGUUGGUAAGGUAACGGCUUACCAAGGCAACGAUGGGUAGCCGACCUGAGAGGGUGAACGGCCACACUGGAACUGAGCCGCGGUCCAGACUCCUACGGGAGGCAGCAGUAGGGAAGCUUCGGAGAUGGGCGAAAGCCUGACGGAGCAGCGCCGCGUGAGUGAUGAAGGUCUUCGGAUCGUAAAACUCUGUUAUUAGGGAAGAACAAAUGUGUAAGUAACUAUGCACGUCUUGACGGUACCUAAUCAGAAAGCCACGGCUAACUACGUG